rnacentral:tRNA from 1 species
UGGGGUGUGGCUUAGUAGUAUAGCAUGUGCUUGGCAUGCACAAGGCCCCUGGAUUCAAUCUCCAACACCCCCU